rnacentral:rRNA from 1 species
UGGGGAAUUUUGCACAAUGGGCGCAAGCCUGAUGCAGCGACGCCGCGUGAGGGAUGAAGGCCUUCGGGUUGUAAACCUUUUUCGCUCAUGGUCAAGCCGCAGCUUUGGGUUGUGGUGAGGGUAGUGGGUAAAGAAGCGCCGGCUAACUACGUGCCAGCAGCCGCGGUAAUACGUAUGGGGCGAGCGUUGUCCGGAAUUAUUGGGCGUAAAGGGUACGUAGGUGGUUUUUUAAGUCAGGUGUCAAAGCGUGGAGCUUAACUCCAUUAAGCACUUGAAACUGAAAGACUUGAGUGAAGGAGAGGAAAGUGGAAUUCCUAGUGUAGCGGUGAAAUGCGUAGAUAUUAGGAGGAAUACCGGUGGCGAAGGCGACUUUCUGGACUUUUACUGACGCUCAGGUACGAAAGCGUGGGGAGCAAACAGG